GAAAGUCUGGGCUUCGGCCCUCUCUCUUCUACACACUUGUGAACUUACACUGUUGCUUUGGUAGGUAUCCUGAAGAGCGUAAGCUUGAAUGGUUCAACCGAAAGGUGCCUGCCAAAGACAUUUAUCCACCCUUUUUAUAUUGUCUGAUUUUUGUUUAAAACAAACUAUAAUAAAACUUUCAACAAUGGAUCUCUUGGCUCU
rnacentral:misc_RNA from 1 species